rnacentral:tmRNA from 1 species
GGUCUGGACCCUGCGGCGACUCUCCCUAUAUGAGGAGGUGCCGGGUUCGCCCGGCUAUAGCGAUAAACUGAGGCGAUGUACUAGGCGCAGCGGACCCGGGGGCAGUACCCGGCGGCUCCACCAAAACCCUUCGCGCAAGCGAAGGGCUCUGACGGGGCCGAACCAGGAUCGACGUGUGUUGAAAGGCGCAGCUUUCGCUCGGAAUGGGACCACCGUGACGGCCCAUAUACAAGUGCCAACGAUAACGAGGCGCUCGCAAUUGCCGCGUAACUGAUGGUUUAACGACCUAAGUUAUAUGGACGAAAGCGCGGUUGGGACCGCACCGGGCAACAGAAGCGGAAACC